rnacentral:rRNA from 1 species
UACAGAGGGUGCAAACGUUGCUCGGAAUUAUUGGGCGUAAAGCGCAUGUAGGCGGCACGGUAAGUCGACUGUGAAAGCCCUUGGCUCAACCAAGGAAGUGCAGUCGAAACUGCCGAGCUCGAGUUCUGAAGAGGGUCGCGGAAUGGCCAGUGUAGAGGUGAAAUUCGUAGAUAUUCGGAAGAACACCAGUGGCGAAGGCGACUAACUGGACAUGUAUUGACGCUGAGGUGCAAAAGCGUGGGGAGCAAACAGG